rnacentral:rRNA from 1 species
UACGGAGGGGGCUAGCGUUGUUCGGAAUUAUUGGGCGUAAAGGGCGCGUAGGCGGUUUGACAAGUCUGAUGUGAAAUCUCUGGGCUCAACCCAGAGUCUGCAUUAGAAACUGUCGGGCUUGAGUAUGGGAGAGGUGAGUGGAAUUUCCGGUGUAGCGGUGAAAUGCGUAGAUAUCGGAAGGAACACCUGUGGCGAAAGCGGCUCACUGGACCUAACUGGACGCUGAGGCGCGAAAGCUAGGGGAGCAAACAGG